rnacentral:misc_RNA from 1 species
GCCAGAUAGGAGUCCAAACACUCCUAAUAAGACCCACCUACAUCAGAGUAAGUGGGGAGAUCAUUUGUCUUGUCAAGAACAACAAGCACCAAGGAGAUCUAAGGGGAAAUCAAGAGCUCAAAGGAGAGUAUUUCACGAAUUUGCAGAAAACCCAGCUCUAAAACCAAAGUUCAAGCUACAAAUUUAUGGGGUUUUCUAGUUCCUUUAUUUCUAAUGUUUAGUUUUUAUUAUUAGAUGCUUUUGAUGGCUCUACAGACAUGAGUGAGUAGUUUCUAUUAUUCUCGAGUUAGGGAUGUAGACUUCAAUUUUAACUAUGGUUGUACUAUGAAUUUAUUU